UAUUAAAAUCAACACAUGAAAUAAAAAAGUACUAGAAUCUCAAUUGCAUGAAAUAAAGGGUUCCAAAAGAUUACAUUGUUCGCCCUAACAUGAAAUUUAACUACUCAUAAUAAUGGAAGAAAAAUAGGAGAUUGUCUUAGAAUACAUCACCGAGUUUGAAAUAAAGAUGUGGAAGAAAAAAUGGAAUUCUUGCACCAAGAUCUCCUUCCUCUUCCAAUGAGUGCUUCCAAUCUUCAAUUCUUGGUAUUAAUCUUCUUAAAUUUCUCCCUUGAAUCUCCCUUCUUGUUGUUUUUCUCUCCAAUAUGUCAAGAACCCUUCAAAAGUAUGAGGAGGAUGUAUUUAUAGGUGCCUCCACGUUUUUAUGUUGAAGUAGGGUUUCUAUAGCUUUAAAAACGGCCCAAAAAAACGCGCCCUAAAUCGCCAAUCGCAGCGCCUAGGCGCUGGCUAUAGCGCCUGGGCACCGUGUCUUCAGCGCCUAGGCGCUGGCUAUAGCACCUGGGCGCCGUGUCUUCAGCGUCGAGGCGCUGGUGGUAGCGCCUGGGCGCUAUGGUUGUAGCGCCUAGGCGCUGCCUCUCGGGUCCAAUUUUCAUCUUUUCUUCGUUUUGUAGCGCCUAGGCGCUAUAAGUGUAGCGCCUAAGCGCCAUCUUUCUGCCCCAAUUCCGUGUUUUUGGCCUCUUCAUCCACUUUAAUACUUCUUUUCUCAUUGCUUCUCCUUAUCUUCAAAACAACACUAACAAACACAUCAAAAACGUUCUACACUCAUAAAAUCUAGUAUUUAAUCCAGCUAAAAUUGUGCGAAAACCAUGAGUGAAACAAACUCAUCAAGCACUAUCAACGAGCUCGACCUGAUCUUUCAAUAUAUUUUUGUGCUUCGAAUCCCAAAAGUCAGUCUUAGUGAAUGUCCACCCCAUUGACCCCCUCUAUCAGGUUUGAACAAGUAGCAAUGCAAACAAUAAGCCGCAUCAUUUUCUAUACUGUACUCCAACCAAUAAAAUUUAGAAGACCAUUCUUUCCGAAAACAUCUAUAAUUAUUUCCUAUCUGUCUUUUUAGAAUCAUUGACAAUGACCUUUUUCCAAGUAUGUCAUCCUAACAUCAUCUCUGAUAUUAUGAUCAUAUGACUCGAUAGGGAGGCGUUUUCCCGGAUCAUGACAUAAGAUCAUCCACAUUGAAUUGAGCCCGAUACUUCUUUAUGUUAUUUAACAACUCGUGUGCUUAGCUAGAAAAAGUGGCGGGACUAGAAGCACAACUAGAACUAGGUAGAGACUUUUGUUUCGGUUGAAAAAAUCGUUCCAUAAUCUGCAAAAUGCCCCAAUUUAAUUUUCAAUUACAAUUGAUUAAAAAAUCAACAAUUCAACAAACCCCCCCCCCCCCCCCCCCAAACAAUAAGUAAAUCUCUAAACCACAGGUUCAAUGAUUCAAUAAAACCAAUUUCUAAACCAACAAUUCAUCAAACAAGUAGGUUCAAUUAUACAAUAAAAUCGCAAAUCUCUAAACUGCUCAAUUGAAAUCAUCACAACAAAACCAAUUUCAACAAAAUCCCCAAACAAUAAGUAAGCCUCAAAGCUGAAGCAAUUCAAAACCCUAAAAGUCAAUACAAAUCAAAUAAAGAGCAUAACAAAUUACUAAAAAAAACAAACAAUUAAACAAUAAACAUGCCAGAAAAAACGUCGUACUUGAAUUUGAAAUGAUAUCACAAAUCACAAUUCAUACUACCGUUUACGCCGGAGCACCACUACUAGCUCAAUCGACAAGCAGUGGACUGCCCAAGAUAGGUUUGACGGGGAAGGAAUUGGGGGAAGAACUCACGAAGGGUUUGCUCUUCUUUGAUCUCUCUAGUUACUGAUUUUGACGGGAAGGAAAUGAAAAUUUGGGAAAAAGGGGAAACUGAUUCGAGAAAGUGGAAUCUGGAGUCCUGGACCUCUGCCUUUGUUGUAGACGGUAGUGGAUAAGUGGUAAGUAAUCUAGUUAUGGUCUAUAAUGGGUGAAUGGUGAUUUGGGCAUGCCUAUUUUUAAAAAAAAAAAAAAAAGAGAGAGAGAGAGGCCCAACAGGCAACAGCAUCACAGAUUUACAACCUUCCGGUGUCGGGCGAAAUCUGUCAUCACAGAUUCACCACAGCUAGAGUGGCGCCUGGCUGUUCCGAUGAAUCCAGCUAGGACGGCCGUCCUAGCUGGCCGCCACCUACAUCCCCCACUGAUUCUAAUUUAUCUUCAUCUCUAAACCCCCAACCCCCACUCGCACACCGCAUAUCAUUGCCAUAACCAAUCCGUCUACCACAUAAAACCCCUUGGUGUUUGAAUAUAUGCAAUCUCAAGGUCCAGAUGUCACCCAUGGAAACAUCAAAUUGUCUAAUAUCCUUUUCACAAAGUCCUAUGAGCCACGAGCCUCAAAAUUUGGACCAAACCAACUAGUUCAAUUUCCAUCCUCUAUUACUUGUGUUGAUGGCUAUCAUGUGUUUGGAAAUGAUAGAUUCUCGCCAAGAUUCCCAAAAUGCCGAUAUUAUUGCUUUUGGAGUGUCUUACGGACGAGGCAUUACCUC
rnacentral:lncRNA from 1 species